CGCCAGCCUCUGCCGGAACUGUUCGUCAUACCUCCACCAGGCCAGCUCGCCAUACGUGCGGUAUGCCUCCCAAAUCCCGUCCAAGUAGCAAAACAGGGAAGAGCACGCCCCCGGCAAUUUCUCCCCUAUCACACAGGCCAGGACGCAGAACGCCCUCAAAAAGUUCCCAAAGGAUUUCGGUAUCUUGCGAUACCGCUUCCGCUUCUCCUCCUCUUCCUUCUUCUCAUCC